rnacentral:lncRNA from 1 species
GGAGGCUGAGACUGCGCCGUUGAAGCCGGUUCUCUGUGCGGGGCCGGCGCCGGGCCCAGCAAAGACCCGAGUGCCCCGAGAGAGACCGAGCAGACCCUGGGAGCCCGAGUCCCAGCAAGGCCCGAGCCGAGCCAGUUUCUCCAACUAGCAGCCUGAGAGCGCUCUUGGUCCUGGCUGUUCAGACCCCAGACGAAUUUACCCCUUCUUUUUAUGGGGUGGGCCUUCAGAGUUUGAAGGAAGUGAAGCUAGCCUCGCUCACUCCAGGGCCUCUUCCCACCCUGACUCGCCGGUUCCUGACGGUGGCCCGCUGUUCCGGGGCCACGGCUGAGUCCCUCUGCGCCAGCCUCCCGGUGGCGGGCCAGCCAGCCCCUUCUCUGUGCUGUGAGAAGAUGGGGGCGCCCGGACGCUCCAUCUUUCAAAAACACCAUUCCACUGAGGACCCUGCCUGUGACGGGAACCAGUCUAACCCACUCUGGAUCGCACGUGCCUGGCAGAGGGACAGCGUUGUGGAGGAACACUUUCCAGGCCCACCAGCUUCCACCAUCCAUUGCUAGGCAGUACCUCUCCCACCGUGACAACCACGCGCUUUUCUUCCCUCUCUCAAGGGGCAGGCCCACGCCACUUGAGAAUAGCAAACUGACAGGGAGAGCCCUCUGGCUUUAAGAGGGGAGAGGGACAGGUUUCUGAACAGUACAGUCUCAGCAGCAGGAGCGCGCGCAUGUCAAGGGUCCCUCUCUGCUCCCUGACAAGCAGGUGCUCCUUCUUUCCGGUGGUUCUCAUCUCUUAGUUGCAAUUGCUGUAGGUGAGAGAGCAGCACAGCUUGCUUUAGGUCACUCUCAGCAGGGACUGGGCUGGAACCCAACCCUUAGCUCCAAGUUGGGUCUGUCCACCCGCUCCUGAAGCUCCAGUAGGUGCAGGCGUGGGCAUUAAGGAGAGAGGAAGGGAGAGGGUGCUGGGGCUCCGGCGACCCUGUGGCUGGAACAAGGAGGCCAAGGACAUCCCUCCUUGCUGGAGCCAUGCUGGCCACUCCUUCCACACCACCAGAAUUGCAGAGGAAGGCCCAAGGGCGAUGCUGUCAUGGGCCCAGGGGUCAGUGGCUGUGGGUGGCACUGGUGCGGGCUGGACUGAAUGGUGAUGCUGGUGUUUCUCCUUCCUGGCAGCAUGAUAUCCUGGGGCAAGUCGUAUGUUCUGCUGCCUGGCCAUUUAUCCUCUUCCUUUUCAAAAAAAUAGGUUUUACUGAUUUUUUUUUCUUGUUUCAAAAGCAAUAUGUGUUUAUUGUGGUAAGUUUAAGAAAUACUGGCUAGAUACACAAAAA